rnacentral:rRNA from 1 species
AACGAACGCUGGCGGCAUGCCUAACACAUGCAAGUCGAACGAGACCUUCGGGUCUAGUGGCGCACGGGUGCGUAACGCGUGGGAACCUGCCCUUAGCUUCGGAAUAACUCCCCGAAAGGGGUGCUAAUACCGGAUAAUGUCUUCGGACCAAAGAUUUAUCGCCUUUGGAUGGGCCCGCGUUGGAUUAGCUAGUUGGUAGGGUAAAAGCCUACCAAGGCGACGAUCCAUAGCUGGUCUGAGAGGAUGAUCAGCCACACUGGGACUGAGACACGGCCCAGACUCCUACGGGAGGCAGCAGUGGGGAAUAUUGGACAAUGGGCGAAAGCCUGAUCCAGCAAUGCCGCGUGAGUGAUGAAGGCCUUAGGGUUGUAAAGCUCUUUUAACCGGGAUGAUAAUGACAGUACCGGGAGAAUAAGCUCCGGCUAACUCCGUG